rnacentral:siRNA from 1 species
GGCAAGAUCGGGUGUACCGUGGGC